rnacentral:tRNA from 1 species
GCUCCCGUCGUUCAACGGAUAGGACGGAGGUUUCCUAAACCUUAAAUCGAGGUUCGAUUCCUCGCGGGAGCA